rnacentral:rRNA from 1 species
UGGGGAAUUUUGGACAAUGGGCGAAAGCCUGAUCCAGCAAUGCCGCGUGUGUGAAGAAGGCCUUCGGGUUGUAAAGCACUUUUGUCCGGAAAGAAAUCCUUGGCUCUAAUACAGUCGGGGGAUGACGGUACCGGAAGAAUAAGCACCGGCUAACUACGUGCCAGCAGCCGCGGUAAUACGUAGGGUGCAAGCGUUAAUCGGAAUUACUGGGCGUAAAGCGUGCGCAGGCGGUUUGCUAAGACCGAUGUGAAAUCCCCGGGCUCAACCUGGGAACUGCAUUGGUGACUGGCAGGCUAGAGUAUGGCAGAGGGGGGUAGAAUUCCACGUGUAGCAGUGAAAUACGUAGAGAUGUGGAGGAAUACCGAUGGCGAAGGCAGCCCCCUGGGCCAAUACUGACGCUCAUGCACGAAAGCGUGGGGAGCAAACAGGAUUAGAUACCCUGGUAGUCCACGCCCUAAAACGAUGUCAACUAGUUGUUGGGGAUUCAUUUCCUUAGUAACGUAGCUAACGCGUGAAGUUGACCGCCUGGGGAGUACGGUCGCAAGAUUAAAACUUAAAUGAAUUGACGGGGUCAUAGCUGUUUCCU